UUUAUUGAGAGUUUGAUCCUGGCUCAGGACGAACGCUGGCGGCGUGCUUAACACAUGCAAGUCGAGCGAUGAAGUUCCUUCGGGAACGGAUUAGCGGCGGACGGGUGAGUAACACGUGGGUAACCUGCCUCAUAGAGGGGAAUAGCCUUUCGAAAGGAAGAUUAAUACCGCAUAAGAUUGUAGUUUCGCAUGAAACAGCAAUUAAAGGAGUAAUCCGCUAUGAGAUGGACCCGCGUCGCAUUAGCUAGUUGGUGAGGUAACGGCUCACCAAGGCGACGAUGCGUAGCCGACCUGAGAGGGUGAUCGGCCACAUUGGGACUGA
rnacentral:ncRNA from 1 species